GACUGCGUAGCUCAGUUGGCAGAGCAUUGGGCUAGCAUUCCAAGGGUCGUAGGUUCGAUUCCAACCGUGGUCA
rnacentral:tRNA from 1 species